UGGCGUAUCAUUUUCAAACGGAUCUACUAUUAUUUAAAGCAUAGAGUUCUCCUCAAAUUGAUAUGACUCAUGGUUUGAUGAUCUAUAAAAAAAAGACUAACACCCACGAAAACUACUUGACGGCAAGAUUGCAAGAGGUAUCAUCGUGACGUGCGGAUAUUUAUAUACGUCCUUUGUCAGAUGUGAUAUAUCCAAGUCAGUGUUGGAAGUACCAAAGACUUUCAACUUUCGUAACAGGUGUGGAUCAUCUUUUCUCUCGAAUUAAUUAUAUAAUUAGCGCCGGGAUUAAUAUCACGAAAUCGUGAGAAUCGCGAGUAACACUGUUCCAUGAGUCAGCGUGCUCCCGUUAUAAAUCUUAAAAUAGAAUUAUAAUUUGGCAGCACAUCGACACCGAAAAUUAGCCAAUUUGCCUCUCUGUUUACAGUUUACGCGUGUUUACAGUUUUGCGAAUUGUCAACAGAUUGUAAAUAAAACAUUUGAGAACUCGUA